rnacentral:lncRNA from 1 species
AUGAUAAUAGGAAAACUGAUUACCUGGCUCCAUGUUCCAUGCGCAGUUUCAUGUCACCAAACUGAUCAGAAAAGAAUUGGGCCAACCCUGGGGAAACAGGCACUGGAUCUCUUCUACAGAGGUGUGUUGUUGCGAGACCUCGCGUGCCAACGCCUGCGACCAUUUCCCCCUUUUCCCUCUUGGAGACAGGAUUUCCCUAAGUGUUGGAGAUCAGUAACCUGUAUGUUUAAUUCAUUUAAGAAACACAAGAAAGCAAUUUGCAAACGUAAAGCCUCAGAAAUCCCCGAUUAUGUGAUCCCUCUUUCUGUCUCUCUCCCCGAAGAUGGCCAAUGCCCCAGAUACCCUCCUGCACAGCCUAUUUAAACUAAGCUCUCUCAUGCCACUUUGGCAUGACACCGACUGCAACUUCAGUGCAUGCACGAGUUUUGCAACCAGCUCAUUCCAUGUAUGUCUCUGUCUCACACUCGAAUAUGUCUGUCAGGAAUUAAAUAAUGAUAUGCCUUACCAUAUACUUACAACAUGCCACCUUACACGUGUGAUUUUUGAGAGAUAAAAGCAGCCCCUAUUUUUCAAUUCUAGGUUUGUUUCAAUAAGAAAUAAAGCAGCCUUUCCCCCCA